UACGGGGGGGGCAAGCGUUGUUCGGAAUUACUGGGCGUAAAGGGCUCGUAGGCGGCCAACUAAGUCGGACGUGAAAUCCCUCGGCUUAACCGGGAACUGCGUCCGAUACUGGAUGGCUUGAGUUCGGGAGAGGGAUGCGGAAUUCCAGGUGUAGCGGUGAAAUGCGUAGAUAUCUGGAGGAACACCGGUGGCGAAGGCGGCAUCCUGGACCGACACUGACGCUGAGGAGCGAAAGCCAGGGGAGCAAACGGG
rnacentral:rRNA from 1 species